UAGGGAAUCUUCGGCAAUGGGGGCAACCCUGACCGAGCAACGCCGCGUGAGUGAAGAAGGUUUUCGGAUCGUAAAGCUCUGUUGUAAGAGAAGAACGUGUGUGAGAGUGGAAGGUUCACACAGUGACGGUAACUUACCAGAAAGGGACGGCUAACUACGUGUCAG
rnacentral:rRNA from 1 species